GCUGGACACCAUCACGGCUAGGGUUUCACUAACCCUAGCACCACCCUUCGCUCCUUUCUCUCUCCUUCAUCAUCUCGUUGCCAAAAAUGGCAUAGGCGCAGAGGCUCCAGCAUCGUUCAGGCUCUGUAUAGCCUAUUUUAGCAAAGCAUUUAAUGUUUCAUGCAGUACCACCCUUUUUUCACCUUAUGUCACCCCAAAAUCGAGGCUCCAAGUCCAUUCUUGUACACAAAAGACAAACAAGUUGGACGAAUAGGCGUAGCUAGUAAGGCGCGGCACAGGUACACCCAGACGAGCAGAAGCUAGUAUAGAAGGGGUUCCAGUGAAGUUGGUAGAUCCCACUUGGUCCUGGGAGUGCUGCCGAGUCAGAGCUUGUGUGCUAGAAUUUCUGAGUCGAUGUUAGAGACUUUGCAGACAGAGUCGUGGGUAUCGGGAGUCAGUCUAUCAGCGGCUCCAUCAGCCGAUGUGUCAGUUUGUAUUAUGAUAUAAGUUUUACACAGCUACAGAUUUUAUUUGAUUUAAGAGUAGCAAAAAAAAAGGGAAAAUACUUCAGUAAGCUUUAUUAUAUAUACCUGAUUUAGAGGUUCAAAGGAUUAUCUAUGUAAGGUGAGUCAGCGGGUUCGCUCAGCUCCGAAUAUGGGGUCGGGUGCCCAUCACACCCUAGUAAAGUCGGGGUGUGACGAUGGCCGAACCGCAGCACCAACAACUCACUCCUUUGCCUUGUCUUUCCGCUGAACCUCAGAA